AUGUGCUCAAAAUUUUGAAAAAUGUGAACUGCAAAAACAGUUGAUCAGAAUUUUGAACGUCAAAAGUACUUAUUUCUGGAAAAUCAGUUAAUCUACAUCCUGAUUUUCUGCUGUUUCAUCAGUCACUAUGCAGUGUGUUUGGACAACGGAAGCAUUCUUGAAUCAGACUGCUUCAGUUUAUAUCGAAGAUGUAUUGCUUGUCAUGCCCGGUGACCAACUUCACAGGACUAUGUUCAAAUUUAGAUUACAUGCCUAGCAUGAAAGAGAUCAAGUAUAUUACCGAAAUUCGCUAUCUCAAUUCGCGAAUUCCGAACUCAUCUUCAGUCUGUCAUUCUGAUGCAGGGGUCCUGAAAGAAGUUGGAACGUUUUGAACCGUCUCAGCCAAUAAGUAUUAGAAAAUGGAAGUCGCUUAAUGAUGAGUUUCUUCGCUGCCCGUCAACUUACCAUCCAAGCAAGCACUGUCUGUCAAACCAUUAGCCGAAUACAAUUAAUACCAGUAGUUCACCAAAACAAGAGGUAAAGAA